rnacentral:rRNA from 1 species
AACGAACGCUGGCGGCAGGCUUAACACAUGCAAGUCGAGCGGAGAUGAGGUGCUUGCACCUUAUCUUAGCGGCGGACGGGUGAGUAAUGCUUAGGAAUCUGCCUAUUAGUGGGGGACAACAUUCCGAAAGGAAUGCUAAUACCGCAUACGUCCUACGGGAGAAAGCAGGGGAUCUUCGGACCUUGCGCUAAUAGAUGAGCCUAAGUUGGAUUAGCUAGUUGGUGGGGUAAAGGCCUACCAAGGCGACGAUCUGUAGCGGGUCUGAGAGGAAGGUCCGCCACACUUGGACUGAGACACGGCCCAGACUCCUACGGGAGGCAGCAGUGGGGAAUAUUGGACAAUGGGGGGAACCCUGAUCCAGCCAUGCCGCGUGUGUGAAGAAGGCCUUAUGGUUGUAAAGCACUUUAAGCGAGGAGGAGGCUACUGAGACUAAUACUCUUGGAUAGUGGACGUUACUCGCAGAAUAAGCACCGGCUAACUCUGUGCCAGCAGCCGCGGUAAAAC